rnacentral:lncRNA from 1 species
UCGAUGGGAUUUAUCUCCAAAAACACGGAGGUAGAUUAUAGGGUAUAUAUAUAUACACACACACACCAUCCGAUCCCUCGGUACAUACGGAUCUCUAUGCAACCAAAUAAAAAUUAAUGGAUAUUUUUUUCAUUCAUUUAAAAUUUAAAAAUAUAAAAAUAAAGUUAUAAAUAUUGAUAGGAUGGAAAAAUAUUUAAAAUCAUUAAUGUAGAUAAGAUGGGCAA